rnacentral:rRNA from 1 species
AGGUAAGCUACUAAGAGCGAAUGGUGGAUGCCUUGACUGGUAAAGGCGAUGAAGGACGUACUAGACUGCGAUAAGCUACGGGGAGCUGUCAAGAAGCUUUGAUCCGUAGAUUUCCGAAUGGGGCAACCCAAUGUAUAGAGAUAUACAUUACCUAUAUAGGAGCGAACGAGGGGAAUUGAAACAUCUUAGUACCCUCAGGAAAAGAAAUCAAUAGAGAUUGCGUCAGUAGCGGCGAGCGAAAGCGCAAGAGGGCAAACCCAGUGCUUGCACUGGGGGUUGUAGGACUGCAAUGUGCAAGAGGUGAGUUUAGCAGAACAUUCUGGAAAGUAUAGCCAUAGAGGGUGAUAGUCCCGUAUGCGAAAAACAAACCUUAGCUAGCAGUAUCCUGAGUAGGGCGGGACACGAGGAAUCCUGUCUGAAUCCGGGUCGACCACGAUCCAACCCUAAAUACUAAUACCAGAUCGAUAGUGCACAAGUACCGUGAGGGAAAGGUGAAAAGAACUGAGGUGAUCAGAGUGAAAUAGAACCUGAAACCAUUUGCUUACAAUCAUUCAGAGCCCUAUGUAGCAAUACAGGGUGAUGGACUGCCUUUUGCAUAAUGAGCCUGCGAGUUGUGGUGUCUGGCAAGGUUAAGCAAACGUGAAGCCGUAGCGAAAGCGAGUCUGAAUAGGGCGCUUAGUCAGAUGCUGCAGACCCGAAACGAAGUGAUCUAUCCAUGAGCAAGUUGAAGCUAGUGUAAGAACUAGUGGAGGACUGAACCCAUAGGCGUUGAAAAGCCCCGGGAUGACUUGUGGAUAGGGGUGAAAGGCCAAUCAAACUUCGUGAUAGCUGGUUCUCUCCGAAAUAUAUUUAGGUAUAGCGUUGUGUCGUAAUAUAAGGGGGUAGAGCACUGAAUGGGCUAGGGCAUACACCAAUGUACCAAACCCUAUCAAACUCCGAAUACCUUAUAUGUAAUCACAGCAGUCAGGCGGCGAGUGAUAAAAUCCGUCGUCAAGAGGGAAACAACCCAGACUACCAGCUAAGGUCCCUAAAUCUUACUUAAGUGGAAAACGAUGUGAAGUUACUUAAACAACCAGGAGGUUGGCUUAGAAGCAGCCAUCCUUUAAAGAAAGCGUAAUAGCUCACUGGUCUAGUGAUUUUGCGCGGAAAAUAUAACGGGGCUAAAGUAAGUACCGAAGCUGUAGACUUGAUUUUAUCAAGUGGUAGGAGAGCGUUCUAUUUGCGUCGAAGGUAUACCGGUAAGGAGUGCUGGAGCGAAUAGAAGUGAGCAUGCAGGCAUGAGUAGCGAUAAUUAAUGUGAGAAUCAUUAACGCCGUAAACCCAAGGUUUCCUACGCGAUGCUCGUCAUCGUAGGGUUAGUCGGGUCCUAAGUCGAGUCCGAAAGGGGUAGACGAUGGCAAAUUGGUUAAUAUUCCAAUACCAACAUUAGUGUGCGAUGGAAGGACGCUUAGGGCUAAGGGGGCUAGCGGAUGGAAGUGCUAGUCUAAGGUCGUAGGAGGUUAUACAGGCAAAUCCGUAUAACAAUACUCCGAGAACUGAAAGGCUUUUUGAAGUCUUCGGAUGGAUAGAAGAACCCCUGAUGCCGUCGAGCCAAGAAAAGUUUCUAAGUUUAGCUAAUGUUGCCCGUACCGUAAACCGACACAGGUGGGUGGGAUGAGUAUUCUAAGGCGCGUGGAAGAACUCUCUUUAAGGAACUCUGCAAAAUAGCACCGUAUCUUCGGUAUAAGGUGUGGUUCGCUUCGUAUUAGGAUUUACUCCGAAAGCGAAGAAACUUACAACAAAGAGUCCCUCCCGACUGUUUACCAAAAACACAGCACUCUGCUAACUCGUAAGAGGAUGUAUAGGGUGUGACGCCUGCCCGGUGCUCGAAGGUUAAUUGAUGGGGUUAGCAUUAGCGAAGCUCUUGAUCGAAGCCCGAGUAAACGGCGGCCGUAACUAUAACGGUCCUAAGGUAGCGAAAUUCCUUGUCGGUUAAAUACCGACCUGCAUGAAUGGCGUAACGAGAUGGGAGCUGUCUCAAAGAGGGAUCCAGUGAAAUUGUAGUGGAGGUGAAAAUUCCUCCUACCCGCGGCAAGACGGAAAGACCCCGUGGACCUUUACUACAGCUUGACACUGCUAUUUGGAUAAGAAUGUGCAGGAUAGGUGGGAGGCUUUGAGUAUAUGACGCCAGUUGUAUAUGAGCCAUUGUUGAGAUACCACUCUUUCUUAUUUGGGUAGCUAACCAGCUUGAGUUAUCCUCAAGUGGGACAAUGUCUGGUGGGUAGUUUGACUGGGGCGGUCGCCUCCCAAAUAAUAACGGAGGCUUACAAAGGUUGGCUCAGAACGGUUGGAAAUCGUUCGUAGAGUAUAAAGGUAUAAGCCAGCUUAACUGCAAGACAUACAAGUCAAGCAGAGACGAAAGUCGGUCUUAGUGAUCCGGUGGUUCUGUGUGGAAGGGCCAUCGCUCAAAGGAUAAAAGGUACCCCGGGGAUAACAGGCUGAUCUCCCCCAAGAGCUCACAUCGACGGGGAGGUUUGGCACCUCGAUGUCGGCUCAUCGCAUCCUGGGGCUGGAGCAGGUCCCAAGGGUAUGGCUGUUCGCCAUUUAAAGCGGUACGCGAGCUGGGUUCAGAACGUCGUGAGACAGUUCGGUCCCUAUCUGCCGUGGGCGUAAGAAGAUUGAAGAGAUUUGACCCUAGUACGAGAGGACCGGGUUGAACAAACCACUGGUGUAGCUGUUGUUCUGCCAAGAGCAUCGCAGCGUAGCUAAGUUUGGAAAGGAUAAACGCUGAAAGCAUCUAAGCGUGAAGCCAACUCUAAGAUGAAUCUUCUCUAAGCUCUCUAGAAGACUACUAGUUUGAUAGGCUGGGUGUGUAAUGGAUGAAAGUCCUUUAGCUGACCAGUACUAAUAGAGCGUUUGGCUUAUCUUU